ACAUGUGGACAUUUGCUGGCUCUGUACACACUAAAAGUCCUGUUUAUUUACAUGGAGUCUGGUGGGUUUGGUGAUGGUGAUUUCAGGGUUGUUUCACGUUAAACAAAAA